AAACCGUGCAUAUUGCCCUGUAAG
rnacentral:misc_RNA from 1 species